CUAGACUUGGAUCAAGUCCGUCUCUCUAGAGUCCGAGGGAGAGCGCGAGGUGCAAUAACGCGGGAAAGUUUGAGGGAGAAGACGGACUUGGCUCACCUGCAAGCGCGCCAAAUUUACCGACCCGUUUUUCCGUCGGUAACGCGUCAUAACUAGAUUGCAAUAAUUUAUGCUAAUUGCAAUAGAGCGGAAAUAACAAAGUAUCUUGUUUCAAAAUGUAUAGCGUGCUGUCCAUAGAUAUGGUGCUGUCUCUCUUCGUGUCCGGUUUAGUUUAUACUUAAAUGAUGAAUACGUUUUAAGAAGGUUAUUGAUAUGAUUAUACUAUAUAAAACUGCACAACUAGUGUCACAC